rnacentral:rRNA from 1 species
UAUUGGACAAUGGGGGCAACCCUGAUCCAGCCAUGCCGCGUGAGUGAUGACGGCCUUAGGGUUGUAAAGCUCUUUUCUCCGGGACGAUAAUGACGGUACCGGAGGAAUAAGCCCCGGCUAACUUCGUGCCAGCAGCCGCGGUAAUACGAAGGGGGCUAGCGUUGCUCGGAAUCACUGGGCGUAAAGGGCGCGUAGGCGGCUGAUUUAGUCGAGGGUGAAAGCCCGUGGCUCAACCACGGAAUGGCCUUCGAUACUGAUUGGCUUGAGACCGGAAGAGGACAGCGGAACUGCGAGUGUAGAGGCGAAAUUCGUAGAUAUUCGCAAGAACACCAGUGGCGAAGGCGGCUGUCUGGUCCGGUUCUGACGCUGAGGCGCGAAAGCGUGGGGAGCAAACA